rnacentral:rRNA from 1 species
UACGUAGGGGGCAAGCGUUGUCCGAAUUUAUUGGGCGUAAAGAGCGUGUAGGCGGCCAGACAGGUCCGUUGUGAAAACUCGAGGCUCAACCUCGAGACGCCGAUGGAAACCGUCUGGCUAGAGUCCGGAAGAGGAGAGUGGAAUUCCUGGUGUAGCGGUGAAAUGCGCAGAUAUCAGGAAGAACACCCGUGGCUAAGGCGGCUCUCUAGUACGGUACUGACGCUGAGACGCGAAAGCGUGGGGAGCGAACAGG